rnacentral:lncRNA from 1 species
UCAAAUGGAAAGAAAUGAUACAGUUCUUCACAGGUAAAAGGAGUGUCAAAGUGAGAAUUUGGGGUCAAUGUAACAAACACCUUCCUCACAAAGGAGAAAAAGUUGUGAUUUUGUUACUGGAAGUGUGAAAGCAGAGGCUGCAUGAUUUUUAGAGACGUAAUGAAGGAAACCACUACAUUUGUCUACUCUGAUUUGAGAUUCCUUAAGCCAGCCCAGAACACCCAGAGAUGCCGACGUGCCCAGAGAGUAACAAAUGUGAACCAACGUCACAAAGCCUCUUUGAUCCAAUGCAAGACAGCCUUCCUUUUCUGCUCCAAAUAUGCUGGGUUUCUCACUCCUGGCUCCAGCUCCCAUUCAGAAUGGUCCCUGUCUUUGUAUUUGAUAUUAACAUUUGCAUUCCCAGAAUUUGACUUCUUGUUCUCCUUCAGUCCUUUGGGCUGGGGCUAGUCCCGGUGGUUCUUUCCCCUCUGGAAAGUCCUUCAUAAAGUAUGAUGCAGUCUCAUGAGCCAGCACUUAAAUGGGAUUGUAUUGACACUACUAUAUAGUAGAUUGAUUUAGGUAACUUACAAAGUCCCUACUCAGUGUAAGGUUCUAUCAUUUUAUAGUUAGUAUUCCUUGCAUUUUACUGAAAAUAGUUUUCAAAUUCUUUUUUUUUUUUUCUUUUU